rnacentral:rRNA from 1 species
GACGAACGCUGGCGGCGCGCCUAACACAUGCAAGUCGAACGAGCGCACGGGAGCUUGCUUUUUCGAGCGAGUGGCGAACGGGUGAGUAACGCAUGAGGAAACUGCCUCAAAGAGGGGGACAACAGUUGGAAACGACUGCUAAUACCGCAUCAGCCCACGGAUCGGCAUCGAGCAGGGGGAAAAGGAGCAAUCCGCUUUGAGCUGGCCUCGCGUCCGAUUAGCUAGUUGGUGGGGUAAUGGCCCACCAAGGCGAGGAUCGGUAGCCGGACUGAGAGGUUGGGCGGCCACAUUGGGACGGAGACACGGCCGAGACUCCUACGCGAGGCAGCAGUGGGGAAUAUUGCACAAUGGGGGGAGCCCUGAUGGAGCUACGCCGCGUGGAGGAAGAAGGUCUGCGGAUUGUAAACGCCUGUUGUAGGGGAAGAUAAUGACGGUACCCGACGAGGAAGUGACGGCUAACUACGUG